AAAUCUUCACAAUGCGCGCAAGCGUGAUGAGGGGAUCCCAAGUGCCCUUGCACUGCAAGGGCUUUUAUGGAUUGUAAAAAGCUCCACGAAUAAGGGCUGGUCAAGACCAGUGCCAGCCUCCGCGGUAACACUGGCAGCUCAAGUGGUGGUCGAUAUUAUUGGGCUUAAAGCAUUCGUAGCCGGUUUGGCAAGUCCUCUGUGAAAUCCUGCCGCUCAACGGUAGGGCUUGCAGAGGAUACUACCAGGCUAGGAGCCGGGAGAGGUCAGGGGUAUUCCUGGGGUAGCGGUGAAAUGCGAUAAUCUCGGGAAGACCACCAACGGCGAAGGCACCUGACUGGAACGGGCUCGACGGUGAGGGAUGAAAGCUAGGGGAGCAAACCGGAUUAGAUACCCGGGUAGUCCUAGCCGUAAACGAUGCGGACUGAGUGUUUCUUGAGCUUCAUGUUCAAGAAGUGUUGAAGGGAAACCGUUAAGUCCGCCGCCUGGGGAGUACGGUCGCAAGACUGAAACUUAAAGGAAUUGGCGGGGGAGCACCACAAGGGGUGGAGUCUGCGGUUCAAUUGGAUACAACCCCGGGAAACUUACCAGGGGCGACGGCAGGAUGAUGGUCAAGCUGGCGACUUUGCCUAACGAGCCGAGAGGUAGUGCAUGGCCGCCGUCAGCUCGUACCGUGAGGCGUGCGGUUAAGUCCGCUAACGAGCGAGAUCCGUGCCUCUAUUUGCGACUUUCUCAAUUUGAGGAGGGCACUAUAGAGGGACCGCUGGCGAUAAGUCAGAGGAAGGUGCGGUCAACGGUAGGUCAGUAUGCUCCGAAUCUCCUGGGCUACACGUGGACUACAAUGGCACGGACAAUGGGUUGCGACACCGAAAGGUAAAGCUAAUCCUCAAAACCGUGUCUCAGUUCGGAUUGAGGGUUGAAACUCACCCUCAUGAAGUUGAAAUCCCUAGUAAUCGCUCUUGACCAAAGAGCGGUGAAUAUGUCCCCGCUCCUUGCACACACC
rnacentral:rRNA from 1 species